CGUUUUGAAGAACGGAAGUGCGCGUCGUGUAGUAUAUAAAAAGCCUUGCGAACAAACACGUUAAAAUUAAAAGAAAACUGUGUUAAAAUGUAUCAAAAAUAGAAAGCCAAUACAAAAAGUGCUUAGACUACACACAACAUCCAGUGUAACGGCACGCUCUACAAAAAAAUACAACAUAAAAGGUCCAAGAGGGCCUUUUUUGUUUUGGUUUAUUCCUUUUCGGCUAAGCAGCACACGGCACAACAUCCAGACAGGAAGAAUCUACCGACUUGCUAAAAUACCAUCCACACGGUAUCGACUGGAACGGUCAUCACCAGCGGUGUUAGAAACAUCGACCCGCAGCUCGUGGGCUCUUCCGGGACGCCGGAAUGGAGCCUAUGAGGUUAGAACCAGUUCUAGACAGACGUGGAAUCUGUCAACUAGAGAAAAGUCUCCGGCCCCAGUAUUUCGGGUUCCGGCAAACAGCCAUGCAGAGCCAAACCACUAGUAAUCACGCAAGUAACAAAAGCCCCUUAUGUGACGUCAG